GAAGAGAAUACGUGUACAGAAAUUCUGCUACAGAUCUGUCAGCUUCGUUCUGUUUAUUGGGAACAGUUGGGAUAUAUCUAUCUCCACAUACUAAUCAUCGAGUACAGAUAAUGCGCCACAGGAAGUCACAAGAAUCAAACGGAAACACAUCUGUGAAUGACAGGGCAUCCAGGUCAACAUCCCGAUCAAGUUCAAGGUCAGAUGAUGAUGUUUACAUCUCAGACCAACCUACUCCCGGGGACAUAGAUGUGGAAGAAAAUAUCCAGACUCUCUAUCAACAUGAAUCCAUGGCAAAUCAUAAUACAAAUUACAGCUACACCGGAAGUGAAAUAUCUUUUACGCAACUUCCCGGAAUGUUCGAAAACCAAAUCAGGAGGUCCUUUGAACCGGAAAAGACAAAUAUGGGUUUUUCCGACAGUGAACAGCGGAAACGAAGACGGAUGCAAACUUCCUCGCAGCGGUUAGCGGCCAAUACAAGAGAACGAAGAAGAAUGUCUCACUUGAACCAUGCUUUCAACAAACUAAAGGAUCAUCUCCCAAAUGUUCGUGACAGUAACAGAAUUUCCAGGAUUCAAACGCUCAGAGCGGCAAUAUCAUACAUACAGUAUCUCAUUAUUGAAAACGAGGCGGCCAUCCAAAGAUGAUCGCUUUUCAUCAUUCAUUGCCACUCGUCAGUUAACGUAACUAGUCGGAAUAGUACGGUUAAUCACGAAAAGGAUAUUCAUGUUCUGGUUAAGGACUUUUCAUUUCCUUAUCAUAUAGAUUGUCAGGGACAAGUAGUUGUACAUCGCCCCCCUCUCCCUUGUCACAGGUACAACAUGCGUGUUUCCAAGCAGCGACCAACAGUGAUACCAUUAGCUGGUACCACAGCUGCUGCAUUAAGCUGGCCAGAGAUUAAUUUGACUGACUCCUACUUCAACCAACUGUACAUAUACUCAACCACAUUUUCUCUUUAACAUCGCCAUUGAAAUAUAUAUUAAUCAA